rnacentral:lncRNA from 1 species
AGUUCUCUACAAUUAAGUAUUCACUUAUUCUAUAUAUUGACUUACUUGAGAUUCUGUUCUUCUCUUCCUCCGUCAGUUUGGCAGCAAAGCCAUUAAAGCUCCUCUUAUAGCUGUACAUCAAACAUUCUGAAGCUCUACCAUUGCUGAAUGCAUGUAAUUGAAACCAUAGUUUGAUGAGUUUCGAUUUCAUGGCUUUAUACGUAAGUCAUGGGCUAAAUUUCCUUAAUUUGUUCGAAUAAGCAAUUUAAGAAGUAUUUCUUAAAAAGGAAGAAAUGGACAGUCUUUAAUUCAAAAUAAAUUUAUUCUAUGAUGUAACGAUUUAUCCAACACAACUAAUGAUCAAUUUUUUUUCAGGACCACUGACCUCCCAAGAGCCUCUUGUAGAAUGCUAGUGUGCAUGGAUGUAGCAGAAAGAUCACCCUUUGGUCUGUCGCCCAUGUACACAAUGUACUCUUGUACCUUAAACAUGAUUAGUAGAUACCUUCAAAAUUCAGAGGUGUAGCUACGAAUUGAACCUUAUGAGUUCCGAAUUAUAAUUCUGUUAAGUUAUCAGGUUUUAAAUUAGUAAUAAUUUGCGUAUAUUCAUUAAAUUUUUUAAUACAAAUACAAUAUAUGAAUAAAAACUACUGGGUUCAGCCGAAUUCGCAACCAAUACUGUGACUCCGCCCAAGCUUCAAAUGCACGUAAGAGUGAUGUUGGAAAAAUGAUACAUUAGUAUUUGAGAAUGGUCUUAACACUUUUACAAGAUCGGCAAAUCAUUUAAAAGAUAAUUACAAGUCAUAAAUAAAUGCUAGCUAGUAUUAGUGAACUAGAAAAUAAGGAAGGUUAUCUAAAAAUAACUUUGUAUCGGGCAAAUUUCGCUCCCUACGUCCUUAUGCUAUCUAUGCACGCCCUUGGCAUCAAGGCCAGUUCAACUAAGGCCGACCCAAGUAAGGUCGACCUCAGUGGACGGCUCGAGUGGCACGACUCAAGAAGACAUCGUUUGAAGCUCUGACUCUUCCGUACACUGAAGCCACCAACUUCUGUACUUUUCUUUGAUUAUUUCGAGGAAGGUCCCUAAUAUAUAAAGGGGACCUCCCAUUUGUAAAGGCUCAUAUGUUUUUUGCUACUGAAAAUAUAUAACUCUUUCUCUCUCUUGUGCAAAGAUUACUAAUUGUUCCAUUACUCUUACAUCUUACGCUUGGUUUCGAUUUACCCUUAUUUAUUCUCGAUUGUUCUUGAGCUUAACAAGUAUUCAUAUAACUUUUUAGCCAAACAAACUUCAACCUCAUUCUCACUCACCAGCAAGACACGACCCAGAAAAGAAAAAUUAGAACUCUGGGCUCGCUUGCCCACACCUCACCACCUUUUAUAACUAUAUACAUGGAGAGAGCACCAAACUUGUAACUGAAAUUGUUCAUCGGUAAAUCAUUGGUGUCAAACUAAUCAAUAUAUGCAACUCUAUUAGACUAAUUCUUGUUAACUCUAAUCACAAAGUAAUGUUUGACAAUUUAAAAAUGCAAAAACAAAAAAGAGAGAAAGAGAAAGGAGAUGCCUUUUGGUCAUUUUCAUACGCUAGUACACUGCAAUUGAUGAGUAGAAAAGAUGAGAAGACGUAUAGGAGAAACCAUGAAGGAGAAUAGUGAGUGGCCAUUUGAGAUAUAGUUUCGUAGAGGAGUUGAUAUUUGCAUGCAAAAAGAAGAAAUAUGGAAUGGAUAUUUAU